rnacentral:snoRNA from 1 species
CUGCCGAUGAUGACGUGACAAGUGUGCGAUCUGAGUUCUGGGAACCAGGCGAUGGAGUGUGCUAACGACUGAGGCCG